UUGGAGGGCAAGUCUGGUGCCAGCAGCCGCGGUAAUUCCAGCUCCAAUAGCGUAUAUUAAAGUUGUUGCAGUUAAAAAGCUCGUAGUUGAAUUUCGGGAUUCGUCGGUUGGUCGGGCUUCACUGUCCGCACUGACCUGACGGGUUCCUACCUUCUGAAUAACCAGCAUGCUAUUAAGUUAGUGCGUUGGGGAGGCAGAGCUAUUACCUUGAAAAAAUUAGAGUGCUUAAAGCAGGCUUGUGCUUGAAUAGAUUAGCAUGGAAUAAUAAAAUAGGACGGCAUGGUUCUAUUUUGUUGGUUUCUAGGAUCACCGUAAUGAUUAAUAGGGAUAGUUGGGGGCAUUAGUAUUCAAUUGUCAGAGGUGAAAUUCUUGGAUUUAUUGAAGACUAACUUCUGCGAAAGCAUUUGCCAAGGAUGUUUUCAUUAAUCAAGAACGAAAGUUAGGGGAUCGAAGACGAUCAGAUACCGUCGUAGUCUUAACCAUAAACUAUGCCGACUAGGGAUCGGACGAUGUUAAUUUUUUAAUGACUCGUUCGGCGCCUUACGGGAAAC
rnacentral:rRNA from 1 species